ACCAAAUAGAUACCCGGGUAGUCCACGCCCUAAACGAUGCGAACUGGAUGUUGGGUACAUUACGGUACUCCAGUGUCGAAAAGCUAAAACGCGUUAAGUUCGCCGCCUGGGGAGUACGGUCGCAAGACUGAAACUCAAAGGAAAUUGAACGGGGGCCCGCACGAACGCGGUGGAGUAUGUGGUUUAAUUACGAUGUCAACGCGAAGAAACCUUACCUGGCCUUCGUACAUCUGUCGAAUCCUGCAGAGAUGCGGGAGUGCCGCAAGGAACGACAAGACAGGUGCUGCAUGGCUGUCGUCAGCUCGUGUCGUGAGAUGUUGGGUUAAGUCCCGCAACGAGCGCAACCCUUGUCCCUAGUUGCCAGCACGUAAUGGUGGGAACUCUAGGGAGACGU
rnacentral:rRNA from 1 species